GUAGGUGGCAAGCGUUGUCCGGAAUUAUUGGGCGUAAAGCGCGCGCAGGCGGUUCUUUAAGUCUGAUGUGAAAGCCCACGGCUCAACCGUGGAGGGUCAUUGGAAACUGGAGAACUUGAGUACAGAAGAGGAAAGCGGAAUUCCACGUGUAGCGGUGAAAUGCGUAGAGAUGUGGAGGAACACUAGUGGCGAAGGCGGCUUUCUGGUCUGUAACUGACGCUGAGGCGCGAAAGCGUGGGGAGCAAACAGGAUUAGAUACCCUGGUAGUCCACGCCGUAAACGAUGAGUGCUAAGUGUUAGGGGGUUUCCGCCCCCCUUAGCGCUGCAGCUAACGCAUUAAGCACUCCGCCUGGGAGUACGGCCGCAAGGCUG
rnacentral:rRNA from 1 species